UGCAGUCGAACGGCAGCGCCAGAGAAUCUUCGCGGCGAGUAGCUAAAGGGUGAAUAAUUCAUCGCAACGUGCCCAAUCAUGGUGGAUAACGCAACGAAAGCUGUGCUAAUACCGCAUACGAUCUACGGAUGAAAGCAGGGGAUCGCAAGACCUUGCGCGAAUUGAGCGGCCGAUGGCAGAUUAGGUAGAUGGUGAGGUAAAGGCUCACCAAGCCUUCGAUCUGUAGCUGGUCUGAGAGGACGACCAGCCACACUGGGACUGAGACACGGCACACACUCCUACGGGAGGCAGCAGUGGGGAAUUUUGGACAAUGGGCGAAAGCCUGAUCCAGCCAUGCCGCGUGCAGGAUGAAGGCCUUCGGGUUGUAAACUGCUUUUGUACGGAACGAAACGGUCUUUUCUAAUACAGAAGGCUAAUGACGGUACCGUAAGAAUAAGCACCGGCUAACUACGUGCCAUCAGCCGCGGUAAUACGUAGGGUGCAAGCGUUAAUCGGAAUUACUGGGCGUAAAGCGUGCACAGGCGGUUAUGUAAGACUGUUGUGAAAUCCCCGGGCUCAUCCUGGGAACUGCAUCUGUGACUGCAUAGCUAGAGUACUAAGAGGGGGAUGGAAUUCCGCGUGUACCAGUGAAAUGCGUAGAUAUGCAGAGGAACACCGAUAGCGAAGGCAAUCCCCUGGCCUGUACUGACGCUCAUGCACUAAGCGUGGGAGCAACAGGAUUAGAUACCUGGUAUCCACGCCUAACGAUGUCACUGGUUGUUGGGUCUUCACUGACUCAGUAACGAAGCUAACGCGUGCGUUGACCUCUGUCGACACGGCGCAAUGCUGAACUCAAGGA
rnacentral:rRNA from 1 species